CCCUUAGAUGUUCUGGGCUGCACGCGCGCUACACUGAUGCGUUCAACGAGUGUAUCACCUUGCCCGAUAGGGUAGGGUAAUCUUUUGAACACGCAUCGUGAUGGGGAUAGAUUAUUGCAAUUAUUAAUCUUCAACGAGGAAUUCCUAGUAAUGAUGAAUCAUCAGUUCGUCGUGAUUACGUCCCUGCCCUUUGUACACACCGCCCGUCGCUCCUACCGAUUGAGCAAUCCGGUGAAUACUUCGGACCGUUUAUGGAAUUGGUUCGCCAAAUCCACGAAUGGAAAGUCGAGUGAACCUUNUNGCUUAUNGGAAGGAGAANUCGUANCA
rnacentral:rRNA from 1 species